rnacentral:rRNA from 1 species
UACGUAGGGGGCGAGCGUUGUCCGGAUUUACUGGGCGGAAAGGGCGUGCAGGCGGUGCGGUAAGUUUAGCGUGACAGUCUCCGGCUUAACUGGAGAAGGCCGCUGAAAACUGCUGGACUUGAGGGCCAGAGAGGGACAUAGAAUUCCGGGUGGAGUGGUGAAAUGCGUAGAUAUCCGGAGGAAUACCAAAGGCGAAGGCAGUGUCCUGGCUGGCAACUGACGCUGAGGCGCGAAAGCUAGGGGAGCGAACAGG